GGAAUAUUGGACAAUGGGCGAAAGCCUGAUCCAGCCAUGCCGCGUGUGUGAAGAAGGUCCUCGGAUUGUAAAGCACUUUAAGUUGGGAGGAAGGGUUGUAGAUUAAUACUCUGCAAUUUUGACGUUACCGACAGAAUAAGCACCGGCUAACUCUGUGCCAGCAGCCGAGGUAAUACAGAGGUUGCAAGCGUUAAUCGGAAUUACUGGGCGUAAAGCGCGCGUAGGUGGUUUGUUAAGUUGGAUGUGAAAGCCCCGGGCUCAACCUGGGAACUGCAUCCAAAACUGGCAAGCUAGAGUACGGUAGAGGGUGGUGGAAUUUCCUGUGUAGCGGUGAAAUGCGUAGAUAUAGGAAGGAACGCCAGUGGCGAAGGCGACCACCUGGACUGAUACUGACACUGAGGUGCGAAAGCGUGGGGAGC
rnacentral:rRNA from 1 species